rnacentral:tRNA from 1 species
GUCCCGUUAGCUCAGUUGGUAGAGCAUCUGACUUUUAAUCAGAGGGUCAAUGGUUCGAGUCCAUUACGGGACACCA